CAUCGUUGUAAGGCUGGUGUGUGUGGCACGGAGAAAGUCCGUGAGAAUGCUUGCGUCCACUAUGUGGUUCUCGAUGUACGGUCGAGAACCAAACACCAACACUACGUGUUGGUUGUUUGAUUCACUUUGAUACAUCAAUAGUGUUUCGGCGGCCAUAGCGAGAGGGAAACGCCCGGUUACAUUCCGAACCCGGAAGCUAAGACUCUCUGCGCCGAUGGUACUGCAGGGGGGACCCUGUGGGAGAGUAGGACACCGCCGGAC
rnacentral:rRNA from 1 species